rnacentral:rRNA from 1 species
CGGCGGACGGGUGAGUAACGCGUGGGUAACCUGCCUCAUACAGGGGGGUAACAGUUGGAAACGGCUGCUAAUACCGCAUAAGCGCACAGUACCGCAUGGUACGGUGUGAAAAACUCCGGUGGUAUGAGAUGGACCCGCGUCUGAUUAGGUAGUUGGUGGGGUAACGGCCUACCAAGCCGACGAUCAGUAGCCGACCUGAGAGGGUGACCGGCCACAUUGGGACUGAGACACGGCCCAA